rnacentral:rRNA from 1 species
UACGUAGGGGGCAAGCGUUGUCCGGAAUCAUUGGGCGUAAAGAGCGUGUAGGUGGCUUGGUAAGUCCGCUGUAAAAGUCCAGGGCUCAACCCUGGAAAGCCGGUGGAAACUGUCGAGCUAGAGUCCGGAAGAGGCGAGUGGAAUUCCUGGUGUAGCGGUGAAAUGCGCAGAUAUCAGGAGGAACACCAAUGGCGAAGGCAGCUCGCUGGGACGGUACUGACACUGAGACGCGAAAGCGUGGGGAGCAAACAGG